rnacentral:rRNA from 1 species
GUGGCUAAUACGGGAUAUUCUGGGUCUGUCGCAUGGCGGGUCUGGGAAAGAUGCGCCUUUGGGUGUUUUGGUGGGGGAUGGGCUCGCGGCCUAUCAGCUUGUUGGUGGGGUGAUGGCCUACCAAGGCGGUGACGGGUAGCCGGCCUGAGAGGGUGGACGGUCACACUGGGACUGAGACACGGCCCAGACUCCUACGGGAGGCAGCAGAAUAUCCCGUAUUAGUCACCACGUCGUGGGAGGGCGAGACGCACAGGGAGGUAG